AUAAAUUGAGAGUUUGAUCCUGGCUCAGGACGAACGCUGGCGGCGUGCCUAAUACAUGCAAGUCGAACGAGAAUUUUUUACACCGAGUGCUUGCACUCACCGUAAGAAAUUCGAGUGGCGGACGGGUGAGUAACACGUGGGUAACCUGCCCAAAAGAAGGGGAUAACAUUUGGAAACAAAUGCUAAUACCGUAUAACCAUGAUGACCGCAUGGUCAUUAUGUGAAAGGUG
rnacentral:rRNA from 1 species